rnacentral:rRNA from 1 species
CCUACGGGGGGCAGCAGUGGGGAAUAUUGGACAAUGGGCGAAAGCCUGAUCCAGCCAUGCCGCGUGUGUGAAGAAGGCCUUCGGGUUGUAAAGCACUUUCAGUGGGGAAGAAAGCCUUGGGGCUAAUACCCUCGAGGAAGGACAUCACCCACAGAAUAAGCACCGGCUAACUCCGUGCCAGCAGCCGCGGUAAUACGGAGGGUGCGAGCGUUAAUCGGAAUUACUGGGCGUAAAGCGCGCGUAGGCGGUCUGAUAAGCCGGUUGUGAAAGCCCCGGGCUCAACCUGGGAACGGCCUCCGGAACUGUCAGGCUAGAGUGCAGGAGAGGAAGGUAGAAUUCCCGGUGUAGCGGUGAAAUGCGUAGAGAUCGGGAGGAAUACCGGUGGCGAAGGCGGCCUUCUGGACUGACACUGACGCUGAGGUGCGAAAGCGUGGGUAGCAAACAGGAUUAGAUACCCGUGUAGUC